rnacentral:misc_RNA from 1 species
GAAAUGCGAAAAGUAGUGUGAAUUGCAGAAUUCAGUGAAUCAUCGAAUCUUUGAACGCACAUUGCGCCUUGCAGUAUUCUGCGAGGCAUGCCUGUCCAAGCGUCAUGGGAAAAGCGUUCAAGCCCCUGGCUUGGUCAUGGAGGAUGAGUACACCUUCCAAGGGUUUUCACCUCUGAAAUUGAAUGGCGGAUUACCGUGAGCUGCCUUGAGCGUCGUAUGUGCCUGACACUCUCGCCUUGGUGGCCGGUGAAGUCCUGCCCACCAACCCCCACAACAUCUUGGGUUGACUUUGGAUCAGGUAGGGAUACCCGCUGAACUUAA